AGACGUAGGCCCGGGGGUUCCCGGCCUGGCCGGGUAGCAGCGCGGGGGCGGCCCUGGGGCGGGGAGACAGGGGGCGGCUCCACUCCGGCGCUCUGCGGAGGACAGCAGCGAUCGCCAAGGCUCAGUGAGUCCCCGCACUAGCGCGGCACCUGGCACUUGGCGGGGCCGAACCAACGAAUGAGCGAAUUUGCCGAGAGUCGCCCCGUCUGAAUCCAUUGACUCUUUCCUUGCCUCGGUCCUACCCUCAUUCCUCGACUCACUUCCUCCUGCCCUUCCUCACUAUCUCCCUCCCCGCUCAUAUCCUCCCUCUCCUUUCCUCAUUCCCUUCUUCACUCUCUUCUCUCCUCUCUUACUCCCCCCCUCUCAUUCCCUCCCUCCUUCACUCUCUCAUUCCUUCCCUUCCUAUCUUACCCACCAUUCCCUUCCUCCCUCACUCAUUCACUCCCUCCCUGUCUCCCCCUCUCAUCCCCUCCCUCUCUCAUUCCCUUUCCCUCCCUCCUUAACUCUCGUUCUCUCCUCCCUCUCUCAUUCCUUCCCUCCCUGUCUCAUUUCCCCCCUUCUUUCCCUCCCUCCCUCUCCUCUUCUCCCAUUGCCUCCCUCCCUCUUUGAUUCCCUUCUUUCCUCCUCUCCUCCACUUGUUCCCUUCGUCACGCGCUCAUUCCCUCCCUCCCGCGGCCUGCUCCUUCCCCGCUCCCUCCGCGGUCGGUGCCGCUGACCGUAGCGCGCCCCCUGCGGGAUAUCGGGGAGAAUCGCUUAACACCGCCAGAGUGAACAGAGGGGUGUCAACCAGGAACCUUGUGAUGCGUGAGGAAAAAAUAUUACCUUUUCCCCCUACUCUUUCUGGCACCCAACAAACAAGUGGGGUGGCAAAGACACCCCACUUGGGACAACUGGCAAAAGGCUGGAGUGCAGUGGCAUGGUGGCAUGAUCUUGGCUCACUGCAACUGCUGCAUCCUGGGCUCAACUGAUUCUUCUGCCUCAGCCUCCUGAGUAGCUGGGACUACAGGCACACACUACCACGUCCAGCUCUAUGAUCAGAAGAUGGCAUAAGUGGGGCUGGGCACAGUGGCUCAGUGCCCAGCUGGGAUUACGCCUGUAAUACCAGCACUUUGGGAGGCCAAGGUGAGUGGAUCACGAGGUCAGGAGUUGAAGACCAGCCUGGCCAACAUGGAGAAACCCCGUCUCUACUAAAAAUACAAAAAAUUAGCCGGGCGCGGUGGCAGGUGCCUGUAAUCCCAGCUACUCGGGAGGCUGAGGCAGGAGAAUAGCUUGAACUCAGAGGGCGGAGGUUGCAGUGAGCCAAGGUUGCGCCACUGCACUCCAGCCUGGGCGACAGAGUGAGACUCCGUCUCUAAAAAACAAAAAAGAAGAUGGCGUAAUCAGAAGUUGAUAUUCUGUCUAUUGGAUCCUGCUUCUCCCCUGGGGUCUUCUUGGUUCCCUGAAGCCCCUCUUCCGGAGUCCCUGCCCUCUAUCGGCUCUGCCUCCUGCUUCUUUUCUGUAUUGCCAUGAUUUUUGCUAAGGAUAAAGGACAACUUCAUUGGC